UUCCUAUUCACUGCUUCUGUAAGAAGUGACACGCUCUGACUCUAGUGGCCUGUGGCCACGGAGAGGUGUGUGUGCGUGGGGUGUCAAAGGUACCAGAAACUGUUAACUGUUUCCUUUCUCCUUUCCUAUCUUGCCUGUGAAUGGAAAACCACGACUCUGUGCAGCUGGUGGCCCAAAACAGACGCGGAGCUUCCUAUCCAAGGCAAAGGCCUGUGUGGACACGAAGAGAGUCCCACCUGUGCAGGUGAAAGGAUGUGGGGCUGCUUUGGACGGUCUGCAGCAACUAGGAUUUGCCUCAUGCUCUAACAGACGAAUGUUGCUGUGACAAAACACCUGAGAGGAAGGAACUUACAGGAGGAAGCAACACAGCUCACCAUGAUGGCAGGAGCAGAGGUGGCUGUCCCAGUACAUGGCUGUCCGGAAGCAGAGAGAGAUGGAUGCUGGAGCCCAGCUCACUUUCUCCCUCAUCUUCAGCACAGGAUUCCAUCCAAUCCAUAAAGUGUGGUGUCGUUAUUCGGAGUUGGUCUUAUUACCUCAUUACCCUAAUCUAUAAACUACAGGUGAUCCCUUAGGUCAGCAGUUCUCAAUCUGUGAGUCAUGACCCCUUUGGGGAGUCAAAUGACCCUUUCACAGGGGUCAUAACAGUACCAAGAUUACAGUUAUGAAGUAGCAAUGAAAUAAUUUUAUAGUUGGGAGGUCAACAAAACAUGAGGGACCGUGUAAAAGGGUCACAGCAUUAAGGAGGUCGAGAACCACUGUCUUAUAUUCAAUCGAGUUGACAGUCAAUAGUAACUGUCACAGAGGUGUCUGGGCAGAGCCUUUGGUAUGGAAGCCUGAGUUAGUAGCGAAGUGGGCAGCCAAGAGUGCCAAGGCUCAAGGUGCUGACAGAGUGAUGCAGAUAUGUGAGAAUGUCCUGCUCUUGGAGGUCAUCUGAGGAAAGGAUUAGACUUUUUGUGGUUUAUUGUGGUAGUUCUUUGAUCAUUUCAUUUGUAAUAUAAUUAAAUGUGAUCAUGUACAGCCCCACUCUCUGCUGUGAACUCCCUCCGAAUCCCUCCCAUAUCCACCUUUGGAUUGCAUUUCCACCUUCUUCCUCCUCACCACGUACAGUUAGUGUUGCCUGUGUAACCCACAAAUAGCCCCGCGCCCCAGUCAGGGGUAGGUCCUCAUUAGCUUCUCCUCUAUCCACACUGGAAUUUUAGUUGGCUUGCUCUUUUUUUAAAGAGCUACUUGACUUUUCACCACCUCAUUUAUUUAUUUAAUGUAUACAGGUACUCUGUCACUGACACAGCAGAAGAGGGCAUCAGAUCUCCAUUACAGAUGGUUGUGAGCCACCAUGUGGUUGCUGGGAAUUGAACUCAGGACCUCUGGAAUCACAGUCAGUGUUCUUAACCCCUGAGCCAUCUCUCCAGCCUGGUUGGCUUGCUCUUGUGCAGUUAGCCAUAGCUACAGUGAACUUGUGGGCACAACAGUCUCAGCAUGGUGAAGGCGGCACUUCCGUUUCUCUCCCCCAUCCUCUUCUAUGGUGUGCCCUGAAUCUUUGCGUUUGGGUUUAUAAAUAUGUCCUGCUUAGGGCUGAGCACUCGUGGUCACUUCUGCUCUCAGCCUCUGACCAGUCGGGACCCUCUGCAGUCACUACUGCCGCGGCAGAAUGCUGCUCCUCUGAACACAGUUGAGGUCAGCAGACCUCGUGUGUUCUCGCAUCCCCACACUGCACACAGUAGAUGCUCAGGCUAAGGGAUGCUUGCAGAAUAGACUCGAGAUGCUACUUCAUAACUGUAAUCUUGCUACUGUUACGACCCCUAUGAAAGGGUCAUUUGACUCCCAAAGGGGUCAUGACUCACAAAUUAAGAACUGCUCAUCAAGUGGAGUCACCUGUAGAUUAGGGUAAUUGAGAUAGUAAGAGGGGAGGUCAGAGUGACAGGUAGAGUCAGGUUUAGAAGACUCCUGCUCUGGGCUUUUCCCAGAUGGGCACUCAGCCAUCCAACAAGGCUGGGUAUCAGCCUUGCACCCCCAGGGGACUCCUUUGAGUCUGGUUCCACAGCUGUCUUUACUGCACUGGAGAGAAGCCAUCUACAACGGUGCAGUAGGAAACCAUCUCCCAGAGGUACAGUGGGAAGCAAUCUCCAGGGGUGCAUGGGAAGCCAUGUCCAGGGGUGCAGUGGGAAGCCAUGUCCAGGGGUGCAGUGAGCAAGCAGGAUGCUGAGAUCCUGGGGUGGGUAGAAAUAGGGUUCACAGGUAUAGCAAGCGUGUUCUCGACCCAACUUUCCACACUUACGCAGAACAUAGACAGUCAUGACGGCGGAUUCUGUGUAAUUUUGUUAAGCUUGUCGUGCUGCUUAAAUCUCCCCCCUCCCUUUGGGAAAUUUAAAGUGAAAAACUAUUAGAAAUAAUGAGAGUUCAGUAAGGCAACCAGCUACAAAAUAAAUGUGAAAAGAUCAAUACCUUUCCUAUGUCCAACAGUAACCGCUUAGAAAAAAUAAUGGAAAAGAAAGAUCUCAUUCGCAAUAAAAACCGGAGAUAUUUAUCACCCCAAGCAAACGUCUACCAGAAGAUGUGUGUGUGCUGUCUCCC